GAAUGAUACUUGGAUAUAAUC
rnacentral:miRNA from 1 species